GGAUGUAAGGGCGAUCUAGCUGUGACAUUGGUCACCUCAUUGAUUGCAGAGGUUGAUUUGGCUGAUCUGGCUAGCUAGGCAGGUGUCCCCUUGCUCCUUCACCGCUCCAUGUGUAUCCCUCCCACUGCUAUGUCCUCAGUCAAAGACGACAACCUUACGCCAUAGAGGAGAACUGCUCUUCUUUCUGUCGAGGGUAUAGAGUAGCUGCACUCCCUGCUAGAACCUCCAAACAAGCUUGCAAGGUCCAUUUGUAGAACAGAAGGAACAUCUCUCCAAUUCUAGGCUCAAUGACAUGAAGACUUGAGGAGAAAUUGACAUUAGAGGGGUUUGCAGUUUGUGU
rfam:Ictidomys tridecemlineatus contig015468, whole genome shotgun sequence.